rnacentral:rRNA from 1 species
UACGAAGGGGGGCUAGCGUUGUUCGGAAUCACUGGGCGUAAAGCGCACGUAGGCGGAUCUUUAAGUCAGGGGUGAAAUCCCGAGGCUCAACCCUCGGAACUGCCUUUGAUACUGGGGAUCUCGAGUCCGGGAGAGGUGAGUGGAACUGCGAGUGUAGAGGUGAAAUUCGUAGAUAUUCGCAAGAACACCAGUGGCGAAGGCGGCUCACUGGCCCGGAACUGACGCUGAGGUGCGAAAGCGUGGGAGCAAACAGG